GUUAAGCGACUAAGCGUACACGGUGGAUGCCCUGGCAGUCAGAGGCGAUGAAGGACGUGCUAAUCUGCGAUAAGCGUCGGUAAGGUGAUAUGAACCGUUAUAACCGGCGAUUUCCGAAUGGGGAAACCCAGUGUGUUUCGACACACUAUCAUUAACUGAAUCCAUAGGUUAAUGAGGCGAACCGGGGGAACUGAAACAUCUAAGUACCCCGAGGAAAAGAAAUCAACCGAGAUUCCCCCAGUAGCGGCGAGCGAACGGGGAGGAGCCCAGAGCCUGAAUCAGUGUGUGUGUUAGUGGAAGCGUCUGGAAAGGCGCGCGAUACAGGGUGACAGCCCCGUACACAAAAAUGCACAUGCUGUGAGCUCGAUGAGUAGGGCGGGACACGUGGUAUCCUGUCUGAAUAUGGGGGGACCAUCCUCCAAGGCUAAAUACUCCUGACUGACCGAUAGUGAACCAGUACCGUGAGGGAAAGGCGAAAAGAACCCCGGCGAGGGGAGUGAAAAAGAACCUGAAACCGUG
rnacentral:rRNA from 1 species